GCUGUGAUGGCCGAGUGGUUAAUUAAGGCGUUGGACUUGAAAUCCAAUGGGGUUCCCCGCGCAGGUUUCCAAACGCCUGCUCACAGCG